rnacentral:rRNA from 1 species
GUGCCAGCAGCCGCGGUAAAACGUAGGAGGCAAGCGUUAUCCGGAGUUACUGGGCGUAAAGCGCGUGUAGGUGGGUUGGUAAGUUACUUAUAAAAGCCCCCGGCUAAACUGGGGGAGGUUGAGUGAUACUGCCAGUCUUGAAUAGAGGAGAGGUUGACGGAAUUCCGCGUGUAGUGGUGAAAUGCGUAGAGAUGCGGAAGAACACCAGUGGCGAAGGCGGUCAACUGGCCUCAUAUUGACACUCAGACGCGAAGGCAUGGGUAGCGAACGGGAUUAGAUACCCGGGUAGUCC